rnacentral:tRNA from 2 species
CAACGGUGUGGCCGGUGGUGGCGGCGGCACCGGUGGUAUCGGCGGUAACGGUGGCGCCGGCGGUGCCGGCGGUUCCAUCUCCGGCAACGGUGG